AUGGCAGCGAUGGGCAGUAAGCGGGUGACGGCGGGGAAGAUCGCCAGCAACGUGCAGAAGAAGUUCACCCGAGCACAGGAGAAGGUCCUCCAGAAACUGGAGAAAGCAGAUGAAACAAAGGAUGAGCAGUUUGAACAGUGUGUCCAGAACUUCAACAAGCAGCUGACUGAGGGCACCCAGCUGCAGAAGGAUCUCCGGACCUACCUGGCCUCUGUCAAAGCUAUGCAUGAGGCAUCCAAGAAGCUGAAUGAGUGUCUGCAGGAGGUAUAUGAGCCCGACGGGCCGGUAGGGAUGAGGCAAACAAAAUUGCAGAGAACAGUGACCUGCUAUAGAUGGAUUACCACCGCGAGUUGGUGGAUCAGGCACUGCUGACCAUGGACAUAUACCUGGGCCAGUUUCCUGACAUCAAGUCACGCAUUGCCAAGUAGGGGUGCAAGCUGAUGGACUAUGACAGUGCCCAGCACCACUUCGAGUCCCUUCAAACCGCCAAAAAAAGGAUGAAGCCAAAAUCGCAAAGGCUGAGGAGGAGCUCAUCAAAGCCCAGAAGGUGUUUGAGGACAUGAACAUGGAUCUUCAGGAAGAGUUGCCCUCCCUGUGGAACAGCCCUGUGGGUUUCUAUGUCAAUACCUUUGAGAGCAUUGCAGGCCUGGAGGAGAACUUCCACAAGGAGAUGAGUAAGCUCAACCAGAACCUCAACCGUGUGCUGGUCAGCCUGGAGAAGCAACACCUUCACAUCAAGGCCCAGCCCAGUGACCACACCCUUGCAAAAGGAAACAAGAGUCCCUCACCUCCGCCUGAUGGCUCCCCUGCUGCCACCCCUGAGAUCAGAGUCAACCAUGAGCCAGAGCUGGCUGGUGGGGCCACCCCUGGGGCCACUCUCCCCAAGUCCCCAUCUCAGAGUUCUCUUCCUGCUGUUGUGGUGGAGACCUUCCCAGCAACUGUGAAUGGCACCGUGGAGGCUGGCAGUGGGACUGGACGCUUGGACCUGCCCCCCGGGUUUAUAUUCAAGGUGCAGGCCCAGCGUGACUAUACGGCCACCGACACAGACAAGCUGCAGCUCAAGGCUGGCGAUGUGGUGCUGGUGAUUCCCUUCCAGAACCCCGAAGAGCAGGAUGAAGACUGGCUCAUGGGCGUGAAGGAGAGCGACUGCAACCAGCACAAGGAGCUGGAGAAGUGCCGAGGCGUCUUCCCUGAGAACUUCACUGAGCGGGUGGAGUGACAGUGGCGGGCCGGUGGUCUCCGGGCGUAUGAAGAACACCUCUUCCCAAAAAUUGUGUGGUUCUUUUUAUUUUUUUUUUCCAUUUUCGUUUUUAAACUUUUGAAAAAUAAAGGGAAAUCAAGAGGA